CGAGGGGCAGCACAAAGAUAGUUUACUAUUUUGGUGGCGACCGGCGCACGGGUGAGUAACGCGUAUGCAACCUACCUUAUACAGGAGUAUAGCCCGAAGAAAUUCGGAUUAAUCCUCCAUAGUAUUUUCUAAUGGCAUCAUUUGGAAAAUUAAAGCUUCGGCGGUAUAAGAUGGGCAUGCGUCCUAUUAGCUAGAUGGUAAGGUAACGGCUUACCAUGGCAACGAUAGGUAGGGGGCCUGAGAGGGUGAUCCCCCACACUGGUACUGAGACACGGACCAGACUCCUACGGGAGGCAGCAGUGAGGAAUAUUGGGCAAUGGAGGCAACUCUGACCCAGCCAUGCCGCGUGCAGGAAGAAUGCCCUAUGGGUUGUAAACUGCUUUUAUUUAGGAAUAAACCCUUCUACGUGUAGAAGGCUGAAUGUACU
rnacentral:rRNA from 1 species